ACGAACGCUUGCGGCGUGCUUCACACCUGCCAGUCGCACGGAAAGGCCCUGCUUUUGUGGGGUGCUCGAGUGGCGAACGGGUGAGUAACACGUGAGUAACCUGCCCUUGACUUUGGGAUAACUUCAGGAAACUGGGGCUAAUACCGGAUAGGAGCUCCUGCUGCAUGGUGGGGGUUGGAAAGUUUCGGCGGUUGGGGAUGGACUCGCGGCUUAUCAGCUUGUUGGUGGGGUAGUGGCUUACCAAGGCUUUGACGGGUAGCCGGCCUGAGAGGGUGACCGGCCACAUUGGGACUGAGAUACGGCCCAGACUCCUACGGGAGGCAGCAGUGGGGAAUAUUGCACAAUGGGCGGAAGCCUGAUGCAGCAACGCCGCGUGCGGGAUGACGGCCUUCGGGUUGUAAACCGCUUUCGCCUGUGACGAAGCGUGAGUGACGGUAAUGGGUAAAGAAGCACCGGCUAACUACGUG
rnacentral:rRNA from 1 species